rnacentral:rRNA from 1 species
UACGUAGGGGGCAAGCGUUGUCCGGAAUUAUUGGGCGUAAAGAGCGUGUAGGCGGUCCGGUAAGUCGGCUGUGAAAGUCCAGGGCUCAACCCUCGAAUGCCGGUGGAUACUGUCGGGCUAGAGUGCGGGAGAGGCGAGUGGAAUUCCUGGUGUAGCGGUGAAAUGCGCAGAUAUCAGGAGGAACACCAAUUGCGAAGGCAGCUCGCUGGAACGUAACUGACGCUGAGACGCGAAAGCGUGGGGAGCAAACAGG